UACAGAGGGUGCAAGCGUUGCUCGGAAUUAUUGGGCGUAAAGCGCACGUAGGCGGCUAUCUAAGUCGGAUGUGAAAUCCCUCGGCUUAACCAAGGAAGUGCACCCGAAACUGGAUAGCUUGAGUACAGAAGAGGAUCGCGGAAUUCCCGGUGUAGAGGUGAAAUCCGUAGAUAUCGGGAGGAACACCAGUGGCGAAGGCAGGUCUCUGGGCCGAUACUGACGCUGAGGAGCGAAAGCCAGGGGAGCGAACGGG
rnacentral:rRNA from 1 species